rnacentral:rRNA from 1 species
AUUGAACGCUGGCGGCAGGCCUAACACAUGCAAGUCGAGCGGAUGAGGGGUGCUUGCACUCCGAUUCAGCGGCGGACGGGUGAGUAAUGCCUAGGAAUCUGCCCGAUAGUGGGGGACAACGUUUCGAAAGGAACGCUAAUACCGCAUACGUCCUACGGGAGAAAGUGGGGGCUCUUCGGACCUCACGCUAUCGGAUGAGCCUAGGUCGGAUUAGCUAGUUGGUGGGGUAAAGGCUCACCAAGGCGACGAUCCGUAACUGGUCUGAGAGGAUGAUCAGUCACAAUGGAACUGAGACACGGUCCAGCCUCCUACGGGAGGCAGCAGUGGGGAAUAUUGGACAAUGGGCGAAAGCCUGAUCCAGCCAUGCCGCGUGUGUGAAGAAGGUCUUCGGAUUGUAAAGCACUUUAAGUCGGGAGGAAGGGCUGUAGGUUAAUACCUUGCAGCCUUGACGUUACCGACAGAAUAAGCACCGGCUAACUUCGUGCCAGCAGCCGCCGUAACAC